rnacentral:rRNA from 1 species
UACGUAGGGGCCGAGCGUUGUCCGGAGUUACUGGGCGUAAAGCGUGCGUAGGCGGUUCGUUAAGUUUGUUGUGAAAGCCCCGGGCUCAACCUGGGAAUGGCAAUGGAUACUGGCGAGCUAGAGUGUGUCAGAGGAUGGUGGAUUCCCGGUGUAGCGGUGAAAUGCGUAGAGAUCGGGAGGAACAUCAGUGGCGAAGGCGGCCAUCUGGGACAACACUGACGCUGAGGCACGAAGCGUGGGGAGCAAACAGG